UCUAGGUGUUCUCACGACCCUUCCAGCAUGAGAACCAGCGUCAGGGUGGAUGGUUUCUUUCUUUCUUUUUUUUUUUUUUAACGAUGGAUGGUUUCUGAUCACAUCCACUGCUAGUGAAGCCAGGAGCUUUCUCUCCCUGCUGGGUUCACUCACCUGGACCUCCAGGGAAGAGGCAGGCAGCAGGCACUGAGGGCUGCAACCAUAGGCGGUCCUGGAGAACAGGAGUGCCUGGGCAAGAUUCCCUCCCAGCGGGCCACACCUGUCGAGUGACAGGGGGAAGACUGUGUUACUUUGGGCCCUCCCUACCUCCAGAAGCAUGGCACCCCUGGCCGACUCCACGUUUCUGGGCACUGGGCUCAGCUCUGCCCACCUCUCCCUUGUUACUCCGUGUGGGGCGGGGGGAAGGGGGCAGGAUCCGGGCUUCACAGAGAAUCAUCCCAGUCACACUCACGGGCUGUGGAACACGGUGGGCCGGGCAAUGGGUGGGAGCGGCUGGAGGCGGCCAGAUUCGAGACCCUGGGAGGGUGGACGGCAUCAAGACCGCAGGUCAAGGCCGCCCUCAGACGCCAGGACUGGAGGGAGGGGCCAAGCGAAGACCCCCUGACCCUGCCCUUUGGCAUAUUGGCGGGGUUGCCGCCCACCCUCCCCGCUCCCACGGUCCUUGGGCACCCCUAAUACACUGUCCUGGGCCAUCCGCCCUCAGUACAGCAGGGGGAGUCCUGCCGGGAGUGGGGGGUGGGGCCCCGACGGAAUCCCCAAGGUCUCCAGGGCCCUGGGCUCUGGGGAGACGUCUCUUCGCCCUCUCCCCAGUAAAAGACGCACAACCCAGCAAACUGCGGGGCUUUGGCCCCGCCCAGGACCCAGAAGGCAGGCUGCUGUGCACCGAGAUGGAGGUGGGGACGCGAAGCUGGGGGCCGUUUCCGUGCUUCGAGCCCCGCCCUGAGCGUCCCCGCGGCCGUCGCCUCUCGCUCCCCUCCUCAGGCAGCCCACCGGAAGCCGUGGCGUACCGCCUUCCUGCCCACCUCUUCCGGCUGGCUUCACCAAUGACCAUGCUCGACUCCUGAGAAGACCCGCCCUCCAGCUCCAAGUGAGCAAGCGAGAUCCAUGGGGAAAGCACAGAUAAGAACCGAGAAUCCACCUAAAACCAGUGCUCUUGAAAGGUCACCUGCAU
ensembl:lncRNA